UGCAGUUCUCACUUGCUUUUCUUCAGUCUUUGCUAGGUUCUCCGCGAUCUCCAAUGCAGCCUCUUCCACUAGACGCGAUUCUGCCUCUCUCAGACGCUGACACGUAACCUCCCCCGAUCCCCACCCCAAGCCCUCACCCAAGACCAAGAACAGCUACAACUGCUUCUGGGAGACGUGGGGGGCGGGGGCAAGGCGGGAGCACCUCGCCCCUCCCGCUAACUCUCGCCGCCGGUCAGUAACCCCUGAACUGGAUGGGACCAUGGGAGUCUCUCCCCAAGGGCCUCCACUUCUGACCACGGCCCGCACGCCCCACCCCUGCCCAGCACCCUGGCAACCCCCGGGACGCUUUGCUGGUGCCAAGCUUCAAUCUCUUGUUCUCAUUUUCUCGUGUCCUCCCGCUCUUUCUUCUACUGUAUUUUUGUCAAUUCUUUAAUGGCGAGGAAAAAAAAAAAAAAAAAAAAAAAAAAAACCAAAAAACACCAGCUCAGAGCUAUAGUCUCCUUCCAUAAAUACGUGUGUGCUUUUCAGAACCUUUCUCUGUCCCUUUCUCCUGCUAACACAUGUCGGGUCUGCAGUGCAAAGGACUCUCCUUUCGUCCAGUGACCAAUGGCAGUCUCUCAGUUUGCCAAUUUCAUUCAUCACGCCCGCACCUACUGAAGCCUACUCCUCACCAGUUCAGCUUUCUUCCAGUUAAUCGUAUUAACUGCUAAGCACCUCCUCCGCCUCUUCGGGUUUUAUUACCGCCCUCAUUAAAAAAAAAAAGAAAAAGAAAAAGAAAAGAAAAGAAAAAGAAAAAAGAAAAUCCAACACGAACACGCAAGACAGCAUGAAUUCAAGAAAGAAAGUGUGCGUGUGCAACACAGUCUGAGUGUGUGCAUCCGUAUGCAUCGCCUGCCUCAGCCUGCCCGGGUACUGAACAUGUGGCUGAGAGGUGCACGACAGUCAGAGGGCUCAAACUUCCGCUGCCAGGCUGAGGCUGGGCCCUCCCAAGCUCACCUGUCUGCGUUCAGGUAACUGGCUAAGUGCCCGCCCGGCGGCGUUCCAGGACACCUGGCCGGGACAGAGCGAAUGCCAGUGAACCCCAGGGCGCCCCCUCCCGCGCGUUCGUUCUCUAGCCCUCCUUCCCUGGGAGGGAUGGGGUGGGGGGUGUUCUGUUUUCACUACUGCACCCCUUCCCCUAAAGACAACGGGACUACCCUCCUCCACAGCGCCUUACCUCAAACAGGGGACCGAUCUUGUUCUUCUCCAGGCUGGAGUACAGAAGCGCCAUCUUGGCUCACUGGAACCUCUGCCUUCACUUCCGGAGUUCGAGCAAUUCUCCUGCCUCAGCCUCCCUAGCAGCUGGCAUUACAGGUGUGAGCCACCUGGCCCGGGAUCCUGGCCUUUUUAAAUCAGAUCUCCUUUUUCCUAAUCUCGUCUUCUGGGAGAAGAUAGUGCCCCUUAUGCUUAUGCUGCAAUUAAGUAACCUGUGGAAGAGGCUUAUGCGGUGACAUUAGGAAAAAAGGUCAGCAGACUGUAUCCUUUGAGCCAGAUCUGUGUUUUACUGGUACACAACUGUGCUGUGCUGUUUAUUUAUGUAUUAUGCAUGGCUGUUUUCACUGUACACUGGCAGAGCUGACUAAUUAUGAAAGAAAUAGAAUUCCCCACAAAGCCAGAAAGAAAGAAAGCAAGGAAGGAG